rnacentral:rRNA from 1 species
AGCUCCAAUAGCGUAUAUUAAAGUUGCUGCAGUUAAAAAGCUCGUAGUUGGAUUUGUGGCGCGGCCGUCCGGCGGGGGCUCUCUACUGAGCCCGUUUGUCCUGGUUUUCGGCCGCUCCUUUCUCGGGUAGCGUGUGGCUGGCAUUAGGUUGUUGGCUGCUUCGCGCCCGUCUUUUACUGUGAAAAAAUUAGAGUGUUCAAAGCAGGCUUAGGCCGUUGGAUACAUUAGCAUGGAAUAAUAAGAUAGGGCCACGACGGUCUAUUUUGUUGGUUUGCACGUUGUGGUAAUGGUUAACAGGAAUAGUUGGGGGUAUUCGUAUUCAAUUGUCAGAGGUGAAAUUCUUGGAUUUGUGGAAGACGAACUACUGCGAAAGCAUUUACCAAGGAUGUUUUCAUUAAUC